UGAGGGCGGAAGGGACAGGCAUAGGAGGGACUCUGUGGGAGGCAUUUGGGGUUGGCUUUCCUAGGCCUCUGGCCCACCUCCACCUUGGCUUUGGAGAAGGGGAGCCGCUACAGGGGAUGGCAGCUGGGAAAGGCCCCCUGGCCACCCCCAGCAACCCCACUGCUGGCUUCUGUGUCAGGGCCCGCCGAAACCCAGGCCCACUCUUCCUAGAGGCCUGUCAGCAGCCACUAGGGCCAGGGACUGUGGGUGAGGCCACUCGGACCCUGCCCCCAGUCUGUCAGGGCCUGAGAAGGGCCUGGUGUGUGGUGGGCUUGCAGCACUCAGUGAUGGUCAGGCCAGGCAGGUUAUGUGUUGCCCUCUCCCACCCUAGCGUCCCCCCCCUUCCCAGGCAGACUCUUCCCAGCAGCAAGCGGAAGCCCGGGCAGAGGCUGCUGUCAUAGGCAGAGGCCCCCGCUGAUGCCGGCCCUGCUUGCCCCUCACACUGCCAGGUCUUCACAUGCUCUGUGUGCCAGGAGACAUUCCGCCGAAGGAUGGAGCUGCGGGUGCACAUGGUGUCUCACACAGGGGAGAUGCCCUACAAGGUCAGGCUUGGCCUGUCUCCAGGGCCAGGGUUGGGUAGCCCCAGGAUCCUUCCUGCUGAGCCCUUUACGUGGGGUGCUGUCAGGCACCUCCCUCACAGUAGCUGUCAGGGAGCCUGCCUUCCCUGCCUGUCCAGUGCCCCCUUAUCUAGGCAGGGCUACUGUCUGCAGCCUCACCUCCAAGGUCCUUAUUAGGCCCUUGUUUCUUUCCAUGGAGGACAGGCUUGGCAUCCUCUGGGCAGCUGAGCCCUGAGGGCCCUCCUUUGCACCAUCCUUCACACCAGAUCAGGGGUCCUCCCAGAAUCAUCUCACCGGGGCCUCCCUCUAGUUCCUGCCCUAUAGCCCAAGGGUGGGUGGCAGGGUUUCAUGGGUGCAGGCCGCCCUGGAGGUGACUGUGGGCCUCUUUUUCAGUGUUCCUCCUGCUCCCAGCAGUUCAUGCAGAAGAAGGACUUGCAGAGCCACAUGAUCAAACUUCAUGGAGCCCCCAAGCCCCAUGCAUGCCCCACCUGUGCCAAGUGCUUCCUGUCUCGGACAGAGCUGCAGCUGCAUGAAGCUUUCAAGCACCGUGGUGAGAAGCUGUUUGUGUGUGAGGAGUGUGGGCACCGGGCCUCGAGCCGGAAUGGCCUGCAGAUGCACAUCAAGGCCAAGCACAGGAAUGAGAGGCCACACGUAUGUGAGUUCUGCAGCCACGCCUUCACCCAAAAGGCCAAUCUCAACAUGCACCUGCGCACGCACACGGGUGAGAAGCCCUUCCAGUGCCACCUCUGUGGCAAGACCUUCCGAACCCAAGGUGAGGUACGCCCCGCCCCUCCCCUCGCCUCCCCAUCCCGAGGCCAAGGCCACAGGCUGAGCUCUUGCCUUGUGCCUGCAGCCAGCCUGGACAAGCACAACCGCACCCACACCGGGGAAAGGCCCUUCAGUUGCGAGUUCUGUGAACAGCGCUUCACUGAGAAGGGGCCCCUCCUGAGGCACGUGGCCAGCCGCCAUCAGGAGGGCCGGCCCCACUUCUGCCAGAUAUGCGGCAAGACCUUCAAAGGUACCUGGGCGGCCCUGGGAGAGCCAUUUCCUGCUCAUCCGAGUUGGAGGGUCUCUGAGGAGGAAACGCUCCUUUCUUGCCAGUGAACCUCUUUUGUGCCCCACAUGGUUAGAGUUGAGAGUGGACCUGCUUUGAAGGCAGGGGUGACCUGUGCAGUAGUGACCCUGGGUGGCACUGGAGAGCCUGGCAGGGCCUGUGCAGCACUUGUAAACCACUGGUCCCCUCCCUUGCUGCCUGUCCCAACCUCCUGCUGGGUUUCCUCGAGGGUCCCGGGGCUCCUGCAUGAUCCCCCCCCCGCGUUCUCCCUCUUGCAGCCGUGGAGCAACUGCGUGUGCACGUCAGACGGCACAAGGGGGUGAGGAAGUUUGAGUGCACCGAGUGUGGCUACAAGUUUACCCGACAGGUAGGCCAGGGCCCGGGCCCCUUCCCCUACCCUAGGAUCCCCCGAAGUCCUGAGCUCACCCUCCCCGCCAGGCCCACCUGCGGAGGCACAUGGAGAUCCACGACCGGGUGGAGAACUACAACCCGCGGCAGCGCAAGCUCCGCAACCUGAUCAUCGAGGACGAGAAGAUGGUGGUGGUGGCGCUGCAGCCGCCUGCAGAGCUGGAGGUGGGCUCGGCGGAGGUCAUUGUGGAGUCCCUGGCCCAGGGCGGCCUGGCCUCCCAGCUCCCCGGCCAGAGACUGUGUGCAGAGGAGAGCUUCACCGGCCCAGGUGUCCUGGAGCCCUCCCUCAUCAUCACAGCUGCUGUCCCCGAGGACUGUGACACAUAGCCCACUCUGGCCACCAGAGCCCACUUGGCCCCACCCCUCAAUAAACCGUGUGGCUUUGGACUCUCGUA
rnacentral:sRNA from 1 species